UACGAAGGACCCAAGCGUUAUCCGGAUUUAUUGGGUUUAAAGGGUGCGUAGGCGGGUUGUUAAGUCAGUGGUGAAAGCCUACAGCUUAACUGUAGAAUUGCCAUUGAUACUGAUGAUCUUGAGUAUGAUUGAGGUGGGCGGAAUGUGUCAUGUAGCGGUGAAAUGCUUAGAUAUGACACAGAACACCGAUUGCGAAGGCAGCUCACUAAGCCAUAACUGACGCUGAUGCACGAAAGCGUGGGGAG
rnacentral:rRNA from 1 species